rnacentral:tRNA from 1 species
GCCGCCGUAGCUCAGCCGGGCAGAGCGCCGGGCCCAUAAGGUCCGGUACGCGAGAACCGAAGGCUUGGGAGACCCGGUGGCCCGGGGUUCAAAUCCCCGCGGCGGCA